rnacentral:rRNA from 1 species
ACUCAAAGGAAUUGACGGGGGCCCGCACAAGCGGUGGAGCAUGUGGUUUAAUUCGAUGCAACGCGAGGAACCUUACCAGGGCUUGACAUGCUGGUGGUAGGAGCCCGAAAGGGUAACGACCUCUGGUUUACCAGAGGAGCCAGUACAGGUGCUGCAUGGUUGUCGUCAGCUCGUGUCGUGAGAUGUUGGGUUAAGUCCCACAACGAGCGCAACCCCUGUCCUUAGUUGCCACAGGUAAUGCUGAGCACUCUAAGGAGACUGCCAGGGACAACCUGGAGGAAGGUGGGGAUGACGUCAAAUCCUCAUGGCCCUUAUGUCCUGGGCGACACACGUGCUACAAUGGCUAGUACAGAGGGUUGCAAACCCGUAAGGGGGAGCCAAUCCCAGAAAACUGGCCCCAGUUGGGAUUGUCGGCUGCAACUCGCCGACAUGAACGAGGAAUCGCUAGUAAUCGCGCAUCAGCCACGGCGCGGUGAAUACGUUCCCGGGCCUUGUACACACCGCCCGU